AACGAACGCUGGCGGCAUGCCUAACACAUGCAAGUCGAACGAGACCUUCGGGUCUAGUGGCGCACGGGUGCGUAACGCGUGGGAACCUGCCCUUAGGUUCGGAAUAACUCUCCGAAAGGGGUGCUAAUACCGGAUAAUGUCUUCGGACCAAAGAUUUAUCGCCUUUGGAUGGGCCCGCGUUGGAUUAGCUAGUUGGUAGGGUAAAAGCCUACCAAGGCGACGAUCCAUAGCUGGUUUGAGAGGAUGAUCAGCCACACUGGGACGGAGACACGGCCCAGACUCCUACGGGAGGGGGCAAUGGGGAAUAUUGGACAGUGGGCGGAAGCCUGAACCAGCUAUGCCGCGUGAGUGAUGAAGGCCUUAGAGUUGUAAAGCUCUUUUACCCGGGAUGAUAAUGACGGUACCGGGAGAAUAAGCUCCGGCUAACUCCGUG
rnacentral:rRNA from 1 species